rnacentral:pre_miRNA from 1 species
AAACUACUCCCUCCGUUCGGAAAUACUUGUCCUAGAAAUGAAUGAAUCUAGACUUAUUUUAGUUAUAUAUACAUUCAUUAUAUCUAUUUUUAGAAAAGUAUUUUCGGAUGGAGGGAGUAUCAU